rnacentral:rRNA from 1 species
ACAGCAGCCGCCGCGGGAAAACAGAGGGUGCGAGCGUUAAUCGGAUUUACUGGGCGUAAAGCGUGCGUAGGCGGCUUCUUAAGUCGGAUGUGAAAUCCCUGAGCUUAACUUAGGAAUUGCAUUCGAUACUGGGAAGCUAGAGUAUGGGAGAGGAUGGUAGAAUUCCAGGUGUAGCGGUGAAAUGCGUAGAGAUCUGGAGGAAUACCGAUGGCGAAGGCAGCCAUCUGGCCUAAUACUGACGCUGAGGUACGAAAGCAUGGGGAGCAAACAGGAUUAGAUACCCCCGUAGUCCCUGUCUCUUAUAC